AGAGCCCCACGUGGGGCUCCGGAUCCUGAGAUCAGGAGCUGAGCCAAAAUCAAGUCAGAUCCUCAGCCUGCUGAGCCAACAAGGCGCCCCAGGGAUUUUUUUUUUUUUAAUGUGCAAAUAUUUUUUAUUUGUAUGUAACCAAAUCUACCAACUUUUCCAGCAUAGUUUCUGGGCAUUUCAAUAUCCAUUGUGAUCCCGUCAAUUGACUGCUGAAGGCCUGGUGUCAGCUAAGUAUAUGGAAAGAAUUCCCGGCAACCUCUUCCCUUCUCUGGAGUCAGUUGAUGACCCAGGGCUGGAUUCUCAGCUAUGCUGCCAUGCGUGCACCUGCCAGGAGGUAUGCACCUGCCAGGAGGCGUGCACCUCAUCCCUUCAGGUCUGGGGUAUCGGCACCUCGGGACCCUCUACAGGGCUGCUGGGCAAACCACAUUCACAGAAAGACUGUGCGGCCUAAAUCUACACACAGAUUUGGGGGCAGAGUUAUUGAUGGAUGGAGGGGAUCUUGAAUGUUUUUGAAACAUCAUGUGCGCAACUCCUCUCUCCACUGCGCCACCCGGUCCAUCGUGACCUCUUCAGCAUGGACGUAGAAUGUGAGGGCGUCUGACCCAGGAGAGAGGCCAUGGGUGGGGUGUUUCAUUCUCUGUAAAAGAAUGACUUUUCCUGGUCUUUUAUGGACAUGCCCACUUUGAAAGAUUCCACUUCUCAUCUUGUACAUUUCUUCUUAUUACUCGCUGAUUCUUAGCUAGGAUCUUCAGCGAUGAUGAGCAGGUGUAUGAGCAGGAGCCUUCCUCCCUCAGGCGGCUGACGCUCCUUCGUUCUCCACGACGCCCAUGGGCACUAGCUGUGACACUUCCUCCAGGGAACCUGCCCCCCACGCACCCUGAAACCGUUCUCCCCCGUGUCACCUGGGAUCAACCUAACAGACACUUCAGCCUUUCGACCCACUUGUGGGCUUUGACUCUGUUUCCCACUUCCUCCUUGAAAGUCUGUGGCUUCCCAGACCACCCUUCACUUUGCCCCCCACCCCCCAGGGCUCUACCCUCAUCGUGUGGGUUUGCUUUUUAAAUAAACUCACCACAUAUUCUUUAAGUCUCUAUCUGUGCACUGAAACUCCAUAUGUACAAUAUUAGCUAGAUUUCCUUGGAAUGGAAUUUUGGCCCCUUUGGAAUCAAACCUCAAUCCUGCCAAGAAUAGACUUGUCAAAACAGGCCUUCUUAAAGACUCUAGAAUUUCUGAAGAUCUGAAAAAAUAAAUAAGCCACAAUGAACAUAAUGCCGUUAAAGAAGAUUAUGACACUUGUCUCAGGACGUUAGUGCUGUGACUUGUGCCCUUAAGCAAUCACUUGUUCUAAUCGCAGGAUUUCACAGUUCUGGUAAAUUUCUCGAAUUGCAUCACAGGGAGGUUUGGACCUCACAGGGAAGAGACAAUCAGAAC